AUUGAACGCUGGCGACAUGCCUUACACAUGCAAGUCGAACGGUAACAGGUCUUCGGAUGCUGACGAGUGGCGAACGGGUGAGUAAUACAUCGGAACGUGCCUAGUAGUGGGGAUAACUACUCGAAAGAGUGGCUAAUACCGCAUGAGAUCUACGGAUGAAAGCAGGGGAUCGCAAGACCUUGUGCUACUAGAGCGGCAGAUGGCAGAUUAGGUAGUUGGUGGGAUAAAAGCUUACCAAGCCGACGAUCUGUAGCUGGUCUGAGAGGACGAUCAGCCACACUGGGACUGAGCCACGGCCCAGACUCCUACGGGAGGCAGCAGUGGGGAAUUUUGGACAAUGGGCGAAAGCCUGAUCCAGCAAUGCCGCGUGCAGGAUGAAGGCCUUCGGGUUGUAAACUGCUUUUGUACGGAACGAAAAGACCCGGGUUAAUACCCUGGGGUCAUGACGGUACCGUAAGAAUAAGCACCGGCUAACUACGUGCCAGCCGCCGCCGUAA
rnacentral:rRNA from 1 species